rnacentral:lncRNA from 1 species
GGUACUGGUUAGUUCAUAUUGUUGUUCCACCUAUAGGGUUUCAGACCCUUUCACUCCUUGGGUGCUUUCUCUAUCUCCUCCAUUGGGGGCCCUGUGUUCCAUCCUAUAGCUGACUGUGAGCAUCCACUUCUGUGUUUGCCAGGCACUGGCAUAGCCUCACAGGAGACAGCUAUAUCAGGGUCCUUUCAGCAAAAUCUUGCUGGCAUAUGCAAUAGUGUCUGCGUUUGGUGGCUGGAAUAGGGAAUAAAAUUACCCAUGGAAGGAGUUGCAGAGACAAAGUUUGGAGCUAAGACGAAAGGAUGGACCAUCCAGAGACUGCCCAGGAAUCUCUUAAAGCGUGGCGUUCAAAGAGAAAUUUCCAUAGAAGAGCGGGCCCAGCCCGUAACUAGUACGUACUCUUUUUAAUGGGAGAACUUUUGGAAGCAGCGGUUUUUAGCGGAUUCAGUCAGGGGUCUGGCAGGCGCCCACUGUUCAGCUACAGUCCGCCCAGAUCCUUCUUCUGCCUAAUGUGUAAUUAUUGCUGUUGCUUGGACAGACUCUGGCAAACAGAGAAAAAUGGUAUCGUGAAGGAUAGUGCUUUAAUAUAAUUAUCUAUGUGUCAUAUCCUUGUACGUAACUGGCCACUUCCCAGACUUGAGUUGCGAGUGCAUCUGCAGUUUAAACCCCAGCUUGGUCAUAGAGAACUGCUCUUUCUUGGGUCCUGGAGUGGAUCUGCUGGUUCCUUACCUGUUUGGUUCAGGCUCAGGUAUUGGGGUUCCUGGCUUGGAAGCCUGGUUCUAUUACUGUCUAGUGAGGUCAUCUGGCAUGGUUAAUUAAACCCUGAUAGCCUCAGUCUUUUUUCCUUAUAAAAUGGGGGUGGAAAACAGCUUACCUAAGUACCCGUGAGUAGCCUAACUCACAGUAGGUCCUUACCACCACCACCAUCAUCAUCAUCAUCCAUGAUUUUCAUCAUCUCGGUUUCAUUUGUCCAACAGCCUCUGCAAGCUUCAUUUCAACUAUUUAGAAGAAAUUUUGUUUGUUUUCAUUUGGAGAUUUACAGAAUAGUUUCUAUCGUUCCCUAAUUGACUUCCAGGAAUUGACUCUGUUAUAAUAAUUGUGAUGCAUAGCCCAUUGGGUAGUUAGUUAAGUGCUAAUAUCUAGAUUGAGUUUCCUUACCCAAAUUGACUUGCCAUCAACAACUACUGAAAAACCAUGGCAUUUCAUAAUAAUUAUCACUGUCAUGAUCUUAGCUUCAUGAGUGUGGCUGUAUAAAGCAAGAGUCAGUAAUUAUUGUUAGUUCCCUAAUGACAACUUCAGAUAUACAAGUCAUAUAUUUUCAGCCUUCAUUGGAAAUCUGUUUCAUAUACAUUAAUAUAUCACACAGUUGAAUAAUAAAUGAUAGGAUCUUUUAUUCAGCAUAUUGAAAUUUAAUAUAGUCUGAUCUAUACUGAUACACUUUCUACUAAUCAGUGUGUAAUUAGCUGUCAGAUUUUGUGCUGUUGAAUAAGAAAUGAGGCAGUGGGGUCUUCUUGUCUUUGAAUCACGGUGACAACCUGACGUAGACUUUCAAUUAAGCUUUCUAGCUUCCUACCUGCGUUCUUCUCUUGGCUCCUUAGGUAGAAACAUUUUCUAUGCAUGGACAGAAACAGUUGAUAAACUCGACUCCAACAGAGAAAUAAAUUACAUACCAGACAUAAUAAGACAUCAAGGCCUGGUAAAUUUUCUUCUGCUUGUACAAAUGUGGCCGUAUAAAGUUAAGAGUCAAUAAUUAUUUACUGUUAAUUCCCUAAUGUUGGCUUCGGAUGCACAUGUAAAUGGUGGUAUGACUAAAUUGAACAGAAUUAUGAGUUAUUUAACACACUCAUUCUAAUGUGCAUGGCUGGAAAUGGCUAUGAUAAUCUAGCAGGGCUCCUUUGUGAGCCAGUGGGUAUGUAGUUACCCAUCUCGUGGUCUCGUGUGCAUGCAUUGUUCACUGAUUUUAAUGAAAGUUGUCCUGCCAACAGAAAGCUUUGGACUCAGAUGGCCACUGUAUUCUCUCACAUGUGUUUAACCCCAUUUCAGCAACUCCGGAUUUUUUGUUAAUAAUUUUUAGCAUGAAUUCUUGAGGGAGUCCUAAGGUCUGGUUUAAACUGUUUUCGCCCUAGUUAAUAGGAAUAAUCCGCUAAGCAUUACAGAGUGCCUGCUUUGCUUCGUUGAUACUAGCUCAUUAUUGAUUAUAUUUCAUGCACACCCAUUUGAUCUGAUGAUAAUAUGAAAAUCAAUUAUUUCUCUGUUUCCUAAUGUAUUUCAAGGAAAGUAUUGCUUAGGAUCUUACUACCCGAUACAUAAUUCUUUUCAAUAAUUGUCAGGACGAUUAAAUACUCCAUGUGAACAAACAUUAUGCCCCACCCAACCCACCCCCC